GUAGGGGGAUCUCCAGUUACUGGGGCCCUUGGUUAAUGGGACCCCCAGGUAGGGGGAUCUCAGUUACUGGGGCCCUUGGUUAAUGGGACCCCCAGGUACUAGGACUGCCAGGUAGUGGGGUCUCCAGUUACUUGGGUCCUUGGUGAAUGGGACCCCCAGGUAUUGGGAUCUGUUACUGGGGUCCUUGGUUAAUGGGACCCCCAUGUAUUGGGACCCCCGAUGAACAAGACCCCCAGCUCCUGGGAGCUCCAGUGAAUGGGACCCCUGGCUAAUGGGACCCGCAGUCAAUGGGAUGUGUGGUUAACGGGACCCCUGCUUACGGGGACCCUCCAUUUCUGACGCGUCGCUCAUUGGGCCCCUCAUUAAUGGCACCCCGGUUUUUGGGGUCCUCAGGAACCGGGACCCCCAAUCAUUGGGGCCCUCAUUAAGGGGAGCCCCGGGACACCGCGUUACCGGAACACCCC
ensembl:lncRNA